AGAGUUUGAUCCUGGCUCAGGAUGAACGCUAGCUACAGGCUUAACACAUGCAAGUCAAGGGGAAACGGACAUCGAAAGACUUGCUUUUGUAUGGGCGUCGACCGGCGCACGGGUGAGUAGCGCGUAUCCAACCUGCCCACCACUUGGGGAUAACCUUGCGAAAGUAAGACUAAUACCCAAUGACGUCUCUAGAAGACAUCUGAAAGAGAUUAAAGAUUUAUCGGUGAUGGAUGGGGAUGCGUCUGAUUAGCUUGUUGGCGGGGUAACGGCCACCAAGGCGACGAUCAGUAGGGGUUCUGAGAGGAAGGUCCCCCACAUUGGAACUGAGACACGGUCCAAAACUCCUACGGGAGGCA
rnacentral:rRNA from 1 species